AUUGAACGCUGGCGGCAUGCCUUACACAUGCAAGUCGAACGGCAGCGCGGGGCAACCUGGCGGCGAGUGGCGAACGGGUGAGUAAUAUAUCGGAACGUGCCCUGGAGUGGGGGAUAACGCAGCGAAAGUUGCGCUAAUACCGCAUACGAUCUAAGGAUGAAAGCAGGGGACCGCAAGGCCUUGUGCUCCUGGAGCGGCCGAUAUCUGAUUAGCAGUUGGUGGGUAAGCCUACCAAGCAUCGAUCAGUAGCUGGUCUGAGAGGACGACCAGCCACACUGGAACUGAGACACGGUCCAGACUCCUACGGGAGGCAGCAGUGGGGAAUUUUGGACAA
rnacentral:rRNA from 1 species